rnacentral:tRNA from 1 species
GCAGCAGUAGUCUAAUGGCUAGGAUAUCACCCUGCCACGGUGGUGAUCCGGGUUCAAGUCCCGGCUGCUGCA